UACGUAGGGCGCAAGCGUUAUCCGGAAUUAUUGGGCGUAAAGAGCUCGUAGGCGGUUUGUCGCGUCUGCCGUGAAAGUCCGGGGCUCAACUCCGGAUCUGCGGUGGGUACGGGCAGACUAGAGUGAUGUAGGGGAGACUGGAAUUCCUGGUGUAGCGGUGAAAUGCGCAGAUAUCAGGAGGAACACCGGUGGCGAAGGCGGGAUCCUGGGCCAGUACUGACGCUGAUGAGCGAAAGCGUGGGGAGCAAACAGG
rnacentral:rRNA from 1 species